rnacentral:rRNA from 1 species
AGAGUUUGAUCCUGGCUCAGAACGAACGCUGGCGGCGUGGAUAAGACAUGCAAGUCGAACGAGCUUAGUUUUGUAGCAAUACAAAACUGAGCUAGUGGCGAACGGGUGCGUAACACGUGAGCAAUCUGCCUUAAAGUGGGGGAUAGCUCGCCGAAAGGCGAAUUAAUACCGCAUGUGGUCCGGCUUUUGCCGGACCAAAGCCGGGGCAACCUGGCGCUUUUAGAGGAGCUCGCGGCCUAUCAGCUUGUUGGUGAGGUAACGGCUCACCAAGGCUUCGACGGGUAGCUGGUCUGAGAGGACGACCAGUCACACUGGAACUGAGACACGGUCCAGACACCUACGGGUGGCAGCAGUCGAGAAUUUUUCUCAAUGGGGGAAACCCUGAAGGAGCGACGCCGCGUGGAGGAUGAAUGCUUUCGGGUUGUAAACUCCUGUCAUUUGGGAACAAAGCCUUACGUUAACUGCGUGGAGGUUUGAUAGUACCAGAAGAGGAAGAGACGGCUAACUCUGUGCCAGCAGCCGCGGUAAUACAGAGGUCUCAAGCGUUGUUCGGAUUCAUUGGGCGUAAAGGGCGCGUAGGCGGCGGGGUAAGUCGGGUGUGAAAUCUCAGAGCUCAACUCUGAAACUGCACUCGAUACUGCUUUGCUAGAGGACUGGAGAGGAGAUUGGAAUUCACGGUGUAGCAGUGAAAUGCGUAGAUAUCGUGAGGAAGACCAGUGGCGAAGGCGGAUCUCUGGACAGUUCCUGACGCUGAGGCGCGAAGGCCAGGGGAGCAAACGGGAUUAGAUACCCCGGUAGUCCUGGCAGUAAACGGUGCACGUUUGGUGUGCGCGGAUUCGACCCCGUGCGUGCCGGAGCUAACGCGUUAAACGUGCCGCCUGAGGAGUACGGUCGCAAGAUUAAAACUUAAAGGAAUUGACGG